GCAAGUCGAACGGGAUCCAGAAGCUUGCUUCUGGUGAGAGUGGCGAACGGGUGAGUAACACGUAGAUAAUCUGCCUUUUGGUUGGGGAUAGCCCAUGGAAACAUGGGGUAAUACCGAAUAACGUCUUAGGAAGUUGUUUCUAAGAUGAAAGGUCCGUUUGGAUCGCCGAAAGAUGAGUCUGCGGCUUAUUAGCUAGUUGGUAGGGUAAGAGCCUACCAAGGCGACGAUAAGUAGCCGGCCUGAGAGGGUGACC
rnacentral:rRNA from 1 species